AUGAUGUCACCAGAAAUACAAUCUGACAGAGGAGGGAGUGUUCCCCGCAUAGAUCAUAAGCAAUCAGAGGGAGGAUAUACCACAACAAAGUGCACAGGAGCCGGAGGGAGCUAUGACGAAGAGUUCUCCAGAAUCGGAAAGAAGGAGGCGGUCAGACUUGUACGAAGAUGGAGCCUAGUGGAGGAUUGUGGUGGUUGCUUGUGGAAAUUCUGUAAGAGGAGAUGA